AAUCAACGCUGGCGGCGUGCCUAACACAUGCAAGUCGCACGAGAAAGGGGAGCAAUCCCUGAGUAAAGUGGCGCACGGGUGAGUAACACGUGAAUCAUCUACCUCCGAGUGGGGAAGUAACUGAGAGAAAUCUUAGCUAAUACCGCAUAACACUUACGAGUCAAAGCAGCAAUGCGCUUGGAGAGGAGUUCGCGGCCGAUUAGUUAGUUGGCGGGGUAAGUAGG
rnacentral:rRNA from 1 species